CAGCCGCCGCGGGAAUACGAAGGGUGCAAGCGUUAAUCGGAAUUACUGGGCGUAAAGCGUGCGUAGGCGGUGAGUUAAGUCUGCUGUGAAAGCCCUGGGCUCAACCCGGGAAUUGCGAUGGAUACUGGGCGACUAGAGUGCGGUAGAGGAUAGUGGAAUUUCCGGUGUAGCAGUGAAAUGCGUAGAGAUCGGAAGGAACAUCUGUGGCGAAGGCGACUAUCUGGGCCAACACUGACACUGAGACACGAAAGCGUGGGGAGCAAACAGGAUUAGAUACCCGCGUAGUCCCUGUCUCUUAUAC
rnacentral:rRNA from 1 species